rnacentral:rRNA from 1 species
UACGGAGGGUGCGAGCGUUGUCCGGAAUCAUUGGGCGUAAAGGGCGCGUAGGUGGCGGCUUAAGCGUGCGGUGAAAGCUCGGGGCUCAACCCCGAGUCGGCCGUGCGAACUGAGUCGCUUGAGCACUGUAGAGGCAGGCGGAAUUCCGGGGUGUAGCGGUGGAAUGCGUAGAGAUCCGGAAGAACACCGGUGGCGAAGGCGGCCUGCUGGGCAGUAGCUGACACUGAGGCGCGACACGUGGGGAGCAAACAGG